GCCGAAUUGGCCUAGUGGUAGGGCAUAGCUUUCCUAUAGACUCAGAUCUUAGGCUGGGGUCGUGGGUUCGAACCCCACAUUCGGUU